CGAUCUCCCCCGACGUUUCCCGGCCCAGGCGAGAUUUUGCCGCUGACAGAUCGAUCCACCUCGUCGGAGAAACAUACAUGGUGGCACGACGUCGUGUUCCUUCGUCUGUCCAGUCGGCGCGCUUCACCAGGCGAUGUGUUUUGUCCGCUCACCGUGACUUCAUCGUUACCAGGGGCGGCGGCGGUUGGAAUAUGUCAACGCCGGCGUCCGGCCUUCUACGCUACCAUCCUUUUUGAUCCAUCGAGUCGUCCUGUCCAGAACCUUUGAUGGAGCUGGGCAUGGAGAGCAAUAGUCAACGUUCCAGGCCAGGCAUGCAUGGCCUCGAUCGCAAAGGGGUGCGCGGCCGCUGCGGUCAGUGCGAUUAUUCAUCUUCUACACCGGGGCUCCGGCAGAUCUACCUGUUGCACGACACUCAGAAUUGGGCAAUAUACUACUCACUUUUCUUAAGAAUUAAUCUUGUACGCUUAUACAAAGAAUGAAUCGGUGAGCAUAUAUAUGCCCAUUUAUUUGAUAA